rnacentral:rRNA from 1 species
UUCUUAUUAUAUUAUAAUAAGUAACACCUGCUCAAUGAGAUUUAAAUAGCCGCGGAAAUUUAACUGUGCUAAGGUAGCAUAAUCAUUAGUCUUUUAAUUGAAGACUUGUAUGAAAGGUGAAACAUUUCAAUUUCUAUCUAAUUUAAUUUAAUUUAACUUAAAUUAAGAAUUAAAAUGUUCUUAUAAGCUAAAUAGACGAUAAGACCCUAUUGAACUUUACUUUUGUUUAGCUGGGGCAGCUAAAAAAUAAUAAUCUUUUUCUUAAUAUUUAAAUAGACGACCCAAUUAAUUUGAUUUAACGAAAAAGUUACCAUAGGGAUAACAGCGUAAUAUAUUUUUAAAGCUCUUAUUUAAAAAUAAGAUUGCGACCUCGAUGUUGAAUUAAUGUUUCUUUAACGUGCAGUAACGUUAAAAGUAAGUCUGUUCGACUUAU